GCCUGGGUGGCUCAGUCGGUUAAGCGUCUGACUUCGGUUCAGAUCACGAUCUCACAUUUCGUGAGUUCAAGCUCCAUGUCAGGCG
rnacentral:tRNA from 1 species